rnacentral:rRNA from 1 species
CAGCCGCCGCGGUAAUACAGAGGGUGCGAGCGUUAAUCGGAUUUACUGGGCGUAAAGCGUGCGUAGGCGGCUUUUUAAGUCGGAUGUGAAAUCCCUGAGCUUAACUUAGGAAUUGCAUUUGAUACUGGGAAGCUAGAGUAUGGGAGAGGAUGGUAGAAUUCCAGGUGUAGCGGUGAAAUGCGUAGAGAUCUGGAGGAAUACCGAUGGCGAAGGCAGCCAUCUGGCCUAAUACUGACGCUGAGGUACGAAAGCAUGGGGAGCAAACAGGAUUAGAUACCCCAGUAGUCCCUGUCUCUUAUAC